rnacentral:tRNA from 1 species
UAUUUAAGUAAUUUAAAGUUAAAAAUAUUAAUUUGUGGGAUUAAAUUUAUAUAUCAUAUUAUAUCUUAAAUAA